ensembl:lncRNA
GCCUCCCUCUAGAAAACCAAUUAUCUUUAUCUCCAGCUGUCCUCCCUGGCACUCCGUUUCCCCUAGCAGAGCCUACCUUGUUGCAGUAAAUUAGCGUUAACUGGGAGGAAGAGGCCACUCAUACAGACUGACUUGACUUUGGCAGCUCCAAGCAGGAACUAAACUGAGACUGAGGGGAUAUCCAUUCCACAGGCAAGGAGGAAAAACAGACUCGCACUUUCUCAAAGAACUCUCAAACUUCCCACAUCUGAAGGAUGGCCAGUUGCGGGUCGUGUUUCUGGAGCAUUGUGUGGCUGGUGAUUUUACUGAUCAUAGGCUGGCCCCUCAGUAUCUUACUCGGGGGGCUCUAUGGCCUCGUCACCCCCCUGACCACCUGCGUGGGCCUGGACCGCCUGUCAGACCUGCUCCUGGAGGGGGCCAACCUGGGUCGGACCUGUGCCCAGAACAUGAAACACGGCAAGGCAGUGUGCUGAGACCGGUCCUGGUCCUGACUGCUGGUUCUGGUCGUGUCACCGUGGAAACAAACGUUUCCUUCACAGAGGAAGAGUUACUGUUCAUGCCAAAGGCCAAUGUGUUAUUGUUCGUCUUGUCACGUUAUUCAGGUGUUAAUAUAAGUUCAAAGCCAAAACUUCACUUCCCAAACAUUUAACACAAUGAUUAUGCUCGCUCUAUAAAAGUGUUAUUAACAGUGGAUGUUCUUUUUGUUUGGGUUUGUCUAUUCUACAACUUGAAAUACAGAUACUUUGUAUUCAUAGCCUGAAUUUGCUGAUUUUAAUUCAUGAUGACAUCCUGCACAGGGCAGAGAAGAAUGUUCUACAGCUUAACUUUAACAAUAGAGCAGUUAUGAAUUUAAACUUAUAAAGUGAUACAAUUAUUUUGAACUUACAUAGUGUUUCUUGAUCGAAUUGUCAUUAGACCGAAAACAAAAUGUCUGCCUGCCUCUAUUUUACAUAGGAAUAUGUCUGCAUUCUCAAUCCUCAGAAACAUUUUCAGACUGAAGUGGAAGAUUUAAAUUGCAACUCAUCAGCGUUUCUUUGCUUAUAGGGAAGGUUUUGGUUUGAACUUGUUAGAUGAUGUGAACAGAUGGAAAUCAGGAUGAAGUCCUGUAACAUAUUUGGAUGCACUGUGAAUGUCAGAUACUCUAGGCUGUCCCUCAAUGAAGUGCUGAGAUGUAUGGGUCUAUCAGCAAUCAUAAAAGUUCAACUUCGACCCUUAACGUGAAAUGCAGAAAUUGCAGAAUUCAGUAACUGAGGAUAAGAUGUAAGAAUAAGCAUUACCUCUCUAAACUAUGAUAGGUUGACAUUUUUAAUUGCGUAUUGGCGAAUUCAAAUUCUCAGGAAGGAUUACCUUAUGUCACCUUUCAAUGGUCUUUAUUUUUUCUCAAACUAUGUGAUUUGGAUCUGUCCUUAUAGAACAGACGAAGUUCCUUCUCUCAGUGAAAGUCAGCAUCACCUUGACUUUUGCUUAAAAAAGCCCAUUCUGGCACCAUAGUUCAGCAAGCCAUUGAAAGAUGCCAUCCUUUCAUCCCUUCGUACUCUCAUGCAAUUGGGACAUUGAAGAGAUGAAACUUGAAAAAUAUCUCCAGUUCAAAGGAAAUGCACAGAGAACACAAGGUCAGAGGGGAGAAAGAGAGUGGAACAUUCCAACUUUUCAAGCACAUCUAUCAGGAAGUUGACUUUUGCGAAACCUGCUUCAUGCUUAAACCAUUCAUCAUGGACAACUCAACCUUCAAGAAUAAAAGCCAGAGUAAAUGCACACUGAAGGAUGAUGCAUUUAAAUGAAUUGCAGAGCUAUGAAAGUCCAAUUGAAACAGUGGGUUAUGCUGGCAUGAGUAAAACAAAUUCUUGGUAAAUUCCUCUAUUGUGCUAGAUGAAGUACCUUUAUAGUUUUUGUCUCCUUAAAAUUCUUCUCCAUCUUGACACAAUGCCAUGUCAUCAACUUCAAAAUAUAGCAUAGGUUCCAAUACUUUAAAAUCCCUAAUAGGAUUUAACCAAAACACUCCUGCUGAGUGUAGCCUUUGCCAUUACCAAAACCAGGGGAGCUAUAUGCAUUUGUAGAUUAAACUAUUCAAAUGUAAUUCAUGAAAAAGGUGUAUUUUUUCCAAAGCACUAUUUAAACUCUUUUUCUCG